rnacentral:rRNA from 1 species
GUCUGGUGCCAGCAGCCGCGGUAAUUCCAGCUCCAAUAGCGUAUAUUAAAGUUGUUGCAGUUAAAAAGCUCGUAGUUGAACCUUGGGCCUGGUUGGUCGGUCCGCCUCACCGCGUGCACUGAUCCGACCGGGUCUUUCCUUCUGGGGAGCCGCAUGCCCUUCACUGGGUGUGUCGGGGAACCAGGACUUUUACUUUGAAAAAAUUAGAGUGUUCAAAGCAGGCCUAUGCUCGAAUACAUUAGCAUGGAAUAAUAGAAUAGGACGUGUGGUUCUAUUUUGUUGGUUUCUAGGACCGCCGUAAUGAUUAAUAGGGAUAGUCGGGGGCAUCAGUAUUCAAUUGUCAGAGGUGAAAUUCUUGGAUUUAUUGAAGACUAACUACUGCGAAAGCAUUUGCCAAGGAUGUUUUCAUUAAUCAGUGAACGAAAGUUAGGGGAUCGAAGACGAUCAGAUACCGUCGUAGUCUUAACCAUAAACUAUGCCGACUAGGGAUCGGGCGAUGUUAUCUUUUUGACUCGCUCGGCACCUCACGAGAAAUCAAAGUCUUUGGGUUCUGGGG